rnacentral:rRNA from 1 species
AUGAAGGAAUUCAUUGCAGAGAUUGUUAGCAUAGGCCGCCUUCAACACCGCAAUCUUGUCCAAUUACUGGGAUAUUGCCGGCGAAAAGGUGAGCUUCUUUUAGUAUACGAUUAUAUGCCAAAUGGAAGCCUAGACAAAUACUUAUAUGGCAAAGAUGGAAAGCCUACUUUGGAUUGGUCUCAGUGGUUUCAAAUCAUCAAAUGUGUAUCAAAUGGAUUACUCUACCUUCACGAGGAGUGUGAGAAAAUUAUCAUACAUCGAGACAUCAAGGCAAGCAAUGUGCUCAUCGACACCGAGAUCAGUGGGCGAAUAGGUGACUUUGGUCUUGCAAGGUUGUAUGACCAUGGUAGCGACCCAGAAGCCACACGUGUUGUUGGCACCAUAGGAUACCUAGCUCCAGAGCUUGCACGCACUGGCAAGGCAACCCCAUUUACGGAUGUAUUUUCCUUCGGUGUGUUCAUUCUUGAGGUCACCUGUGGGCAAAAGCCCAUCAUGAAAGAUACGGAGGAAAGCCAUCUCAUGCUAGUUGACUGGGUGCUUGAACAUUGGCAUAAAUGUUCACUCAAUGAUGCAGUGGACAUCAAGCUUCAAGGCGAAUUGAUGUUGGUGAAGCAUUCUUAG